AUAAUAAUGCUACAAACACAAAGACUUUGUUCACUAAGAGCCGUAGUCCAGCUGGAAUAUUGCAAAAACACAAAGUUGUCCAGUGAGCUGUCAAAUGCAUUGAGUGCUGCUGAUGCAACCCAGAGCACUGGAUUCCCUACCUCCAACCCAGGUCCCACAGCCAUCGAUUGUCUCAAGAGAAGUUUACAGCCUUAUUUUGAGUCACCCCAGAAUACUUAAGCCGAACAUUUGCAAAUGCAGCUGGUCCCAGAGGUGGAAUGUUCCAAAAGCCCAUUUGGAGCCAAGUAUGUACGCUAUGAAGUCAGUCGUGACACCACUUUAUAGAGAACAGACAAUGAGUUUUGGAUCUUGUAAGUACCUUUCCUCCCUGCAAGUAAAUUCCCUUCCCCCAUUCUUUUGGAAACAUCUCUGUCUGUAUUGGAAACAGAGGAUGUAAUUUAUUUUUAUCAUCUUCCCUGUCAAACUGGCCAACAGCCACAGGGUUCUGCUUUCAGAUGUAGCAAGAGCCAGGAGAGCCACAAUGAAGACGCAUUCAUUUCAGUGGCUCCUCCUCUGUUUCCUUAUCUUAUUUUGAGGCUACCUACCGUGGUAUCUUAUCACUCUU